AUUGUACUCCCUCCGUUCCAAAAUAGAUGACCCAACUUUGCACUAACUUUGUACAAAGUUAGUGCAAAGUGUACAAAGUUAGUGCAAAGUUGGGUCAUCUAUUUUGGAACGGAGGGAGUAAAUC
rfam:Triticum aestivum genome assembly, contig: Triticum_aestivum_CS42_TGACv1_scaffold_196448_3AL